AUGAAAGUAAUCAGGAAAAUGUAUUAUUUAAAGUGGUAUAUUUCAUUAUUUGUUUUAUUACAGAGUGUGGGCCAUGGCCCCCAACAAAAAACUUUUGGACACCCCUGCUCUAGAACAUCAGAAAAAUCACAGGUGGCUUUUGUAAUCCUACCCAGAUUAUAUUUAAGACCGCCUCCCCCGAGUGUCAGUAAUAUUGCAGCUAAUCUGGUGGUGUUACAGUGACAGCUGAUUGGGGAGAUGAAUGAGUGCAGGCUUUCAUGGAGGAUUUAGGUUGGAGCUGAGUUUGGCAGCAGCAUCUGCAGCAGCAUCCAAACACAACACCAGAGAAACAGAACGGCAAACAUCUUCACAGAGACCAGCUCGGAGAGAUGCAGUGAAAAAUACUCGCUAAACAGCAGCAAGUCAGUGGUUAUUUAAAAAUAUUCUGUAUGUUAUAGAGCUAACUGUGCCAUUUCAGGAUGAGGCUUAUAUUAAGCUGAUGGUGUUAGGAGGGGUUUGUGGUAAAUAGGGUAACAUCUGUGUCGGUGGAUUUUGGGUUCAGAGGCUGGGUCCUGAGGGCAUUCAGGAAGAAAUUAUUAGAAGUAGCUGGGAGAUCUAAUCAGGGGUUGUGUGUAAGAAUGAAUGAGGUUAGUUGGGGAAGGGCAAUAGUGUGGUGGAAAGUGUAGACGUAGGCUGUUUGGUGUGAUGGAAUGUUAGCAUGGUAGCUAGGUUGGGUGAGGAUCUUGUGAUGUAUAACCUCAGUUUACUUAAUUAAAUUACUUCACUUUUGCAGUUUUCUUCACUAAAAA
rnacentral:lncRNA from 1 species